rnacentral:rRNA from 2 species
GGGUUGUGAGGUUAAGCGACUAAGCGUACACGGUGGAUGCCCUGGCAGUCAGAGGCGAUGAAGGGCGUGCUAAUCUGCGAUAAGCGCCGGUAAGGUGAUAUGAACCGUUAUAACCGGCGAUACCCGAAUGGGGAAACCCAGUGUGACUCGUCACACUAUCAUUAACUGAAUCCAUAGGUUAAUGAGGCGAACCGGGGGAACUGAAACAUCUAAGUACCCCGAGGAAAAGAAAUCAACCGAGAUUCCCCCAGUAGCGGCGAGCGAACGGGGAGGAGCCCAGAGCCUGAAUCAGCAUGUGUGUUAGUGGAAGCGUCUGGAAAGGCGCGCGAUACAGGGUGACAGCCCCGU